UAUUUACAAGAUUAAUGGGAAUUCAUGCGUAAGCCAUACCUACCACCCCUGCGGCUACACUAUCUUCAGCCUUAAAACAAAUACCUGAAAAACCAGUCUGCUGGCGCACGUAGCCUUUAUUUUUUUUACUGCCUUUACACCCCACUUCUCUUGCGUCAAAAGCAAAAUACAAUCCCAUGCCCACUCAAUCAUGUGGCAGCACCACCCUUCCCACUCCCCCACUGCGCUUGUCGUCAAACCUGUUCCCGUGGUGCAAGCCGCGCGUGACGCCACCGCGGCAUGCGGGCCAAUCACGCGGCGCUGCGCUGCAGAGACGGACCGCCCUCGUGAAUUACAAAAGGAAACGGGGUGGCAGAAGGACACCACAAUCUCUGCAGUGGGAAACCUCGGAGGGAGCUCCAAGCGUUGUCAACCUCGUCCCGAACCAGCGGCGCUUGAACCAACUCAAGAAAUUUAUUUCGUUCUGCGUUUUUCACUCGUAAGGAGCAGAAGAGACCAACUAGUUUCUCGCGCCAAUGAUGACUGUCUUACAAAGGCAAAGAUCGUCCCUCCAACCCCUGCGGCAAGUGCUACUGAGCGAGCACCUAUGAAAGACCGGAUGGCACUUGUCAAGGGGGUGGUGUCGGACAGCACCACGCCCGGCCAACUUCGUCUCCCCAGUGGAGAUGUUUACACAUCGUAUAAGUACGUAUGAAUAAACCACUGCUGGAUGAAGGCCUCCGGGAAGCCACCGCCAUCUCUUAGGACCCUGUAAUGUGGCGAUCGGAGAUUAAAAUAGUUAAUGCAAUUGAUAUGCCAAUACAAUAUUUAGGCUAAAGGAGCAAACAAGAUGGGCCAAAUGAGAGAGCACAACCAAGAUGAUAAAAAUAAGAUGAAAAACGACCUGACAAAUGGAACCAUGACCCACAAAUUGCAAGAAUUCUUCAAGUCGCCACGGGUAAGGAGGGGUAAUUGAAUUGUUACACCCCGAGUGCACGUUACACAGCCACGCCUGCACUCGUGCAUUAUUCCACAGUCACCCAGAGGCACUGACACGUACACACACCAAAACAUGCAUCCCCUGUAUAUAGCCUUCAUAUAGACUGUUGGGGAAACUGCUGUUUGUGACCACGAAUGAAGGCCGACAUGGCACAACAAGGAGGUGGUGUGCUCAGCAUCACGUCCAGCUGCCUAUGUUUAUACAGGUAUUCAUUUUAAAGUUGAGCCAACUUCAGGGAGUUACAGGACUAACUGAUGUUAGUCUUUGCUAGGCACCAAACUCGGUUUGCCGGGUUCAUAGCGGAAUGCAAUAUGCCCGUAUACGCACACACACAAACACAUUACCCAUACAAGUGCAAAGACUGUUAGUGAGCAUCGAUGAAGGAAAAAACAAUCACAUGAGGUGACUAAGUGGCAAGUACAAUAAGUGGCUGGCCUUUGUGUCCCCAGUCCUGUUAAUCGCACACUACUUCGGAUACUCAGCUACAGCCGUGCUGACCCAGAGGUAUGGGACAAGUGCUGAACCAUUUGCCACUGAUGUUAACCAGGACUGGGAAUUGAACCCGAGCGACUGUGUUUGAAGCGCCAGUGCACAAACCCACGGGGGCCACUGCUCAUGCAUUUACACACGCACGCACGUGUGGUGGCGCGUGCUUGUCCAGCCAGCAUUUUGCGCAUUUGGUGGAUGCACCGAGGCCAUACGUGCAAGAUGAUGGCCCACCCUCCAGGAGCGGAGAGUUGCCCGUAGGAGACAGUACCGCAAGUAGGUUGCUCAAAUCAACUGGUGCACGUGGAUGUUUAUUUUCCUUAAAAGGAGGUAUAUCUCCGGCAAUAGUCUCAGGUACAAUUUGGAGUUAUGCAUGGCAUCGAAAUGCAAGACGCCAUGCAGAAACACAACAGGACUUCCAAUUGGCCAAACACCCCAAGCCCAGUCUUAAGAACUCGGUGCGAUCUUGUUAGGUUCCGAGACGUUAUUAGUAGUCGAUAAGAACUGGGCGCGUCGUGUAGAAAGAAGUGCUGGUGUGCAAUAUACGUGACAAAAGCAUCACUUACAAGCAGGUGGGACGCUAUGCUAAGAAUGAACAAAAUAAAAGCAACGUGCCUUGAUGUUUUCAUCUCAAUCAUCCAUGACCUACUCAAUGGUAUGGGCUCCGAGGCUAAACACGCAUCUUAGCUGGAAUACUGUGUGACUUGGCAAUUUCAAAGGCACAGUUAAAAACAUUGCAAAACAAACAAUAGAGCUUCACGCAGAGAUAGCAAUAAGGGAGCACGUGCCAAUAUUGAUAGGGUAUCAAGAUCUUAAGUCUACACUCUUAAAUAACUUGUACAUUGACAUGUUUCAGAUGUUAUCUUGACAAUACACCCCAGAGUAGUCAACAAUAGUCGUCCCGCACCUCCGAUUAGCACGAUUGGCUAAGUAAGGUGCGAAAGAAGUUCAAAAUGAAUACGUACAUACGACAGUUUCCUUAUAAAGAACCCUGGCAACCUUCCGUGGGAAUGUGGAAUUUUUAUUUCAUGCUCUGGUCAUGAAAGGAGAUGAGCACCCUCCUCCCCCAUUGCUCCUUUUGAGUAGAAAACAAAGCAUGAGCACACGUGUCAUUCGGGGUGUCAACAUUCAAUGGAAAAAAAAAGCAUUUUGGUGUCUCUUGUUUGUGAUGUCUAAUUUCUUCUGUGUUUGUUUCGAUGGUGUCAUCUCAUUUGUUUCAUCAAUUCACUCCCAAGGUACAUUUGUAUAUAAUCUGCAGACAAUUUACAUUUGCUUCACAUGUUAUGUUCUGCAGUCAUUUCCUUGCUGAGAAAUUAUAAAAAAAGCGCCUCUUCUGCUACCUUGAGAUGUACUGCAAGGGGAGGUGCGGUAUAAAUAAUAAAUAACAAUGACGAGCAAAUAAUCAAUUCUUACGUGUGCGGGUCUGCAUGCAGUAUCUUGAGCAUGAGAAAAAAAUCAAUACUUUGUCAGUAACUCUGCCUUUAAAGGCAAUGUAUAUAAGGCAAUCUUUUGAGCAAGGGCUGGUCUUCGGCAGCACAUGUUAUUUGUGCUUGUGCAACACUGCCAAUGAAACUAUCACCAAAUAAUUUGUUUACAUUUUCGCGUAAGAGCUAUACGCGCCCAACGAGUAACCGUGCAAUACUUUACAACGAUGGGAGGAUGAGUUAGAAAUGUGCGGCUAAGCUUGCGCCGCUGACUUUCCUCCCCUUCACUCGCCAAAAGGCCCAGAACAAACGGGGUGCGAAACUCCGUGGACAAAGAGGGCGAAUGGAGGAGGCAUUAAACCAAGCGUGUUUUUUUUACUGGCUCUAUGCCUCCACGCUACGUCCCUGUAAACAACAGGAGCGCCUGAUGUCUAUGAGAGCCCGCUUCAUCUUUUGGCCCAGGAAUGUGGAGAUUUUAGAGGGCGGAAGGAGUGGGCCAGUAGCAUACAGGGGUGUAGUAAAGGUGCCUUGGGUACUGGCAGCUAGCUUGACGGGAUUCCUAGAGCUUAACUGCAACAAUGCUCCCCUCCUCUGCACAAUUUUAGGCCGAUAAACCCAAGUUGCAUUCAACCACUGAAUUCUCACCUUAUAUGCCCUCAUGUCUAAGCAUUUUAUAUAAGGCGUAUAAGGACAUAAGUCGGUCCCUCAACCUGUAAGCUUAAUACCGUAGUCAUCGCUAGCUUUGUCUGAGAGGAGAUGGAGAGGUGAAUUCACCUCGUGUGCAAGUUUUAGGUGGACUGCUUACAUUGCAGCAUUGAGAGAGAGAGCGCAGUAGCUUGGGAUGGUCUUCAUUCAGCAGUGGAUUGACCAAGGCCGAUGAUGAAUAUUUUUUUCUCAUUUUAUGCUAUCUGUGUUCCCUAUCUAUCUAUAAUAUGCACCAGGACCCAGCUGCUUUAAGGGACUCGUAUAAUAUAAGACUUACCAAUAAUGUAUAUUGUCUGCCUAUAUAAGUUCCCCAUUUAUUGACAUACAAAUAUUAAUAGCGAUAUACAUCUGGCCGGAACAUGAUCGUUAUGGCUUUUUACGAUAUACUCCGUGCAUGGCAUUCAGCCUAUUUGGCAUGAAUAGCACUAAUGCAGGAUAUGCCAUCAUUCAAGGGUCCUUGAGCUUGGCAAUACUCCCGUCGAACUAAAAACAUGCUCCUUUAAACAACACACUGCGUGACGAUAGAAUGCAAAGUAUUUAUGUACACAUGUUGAACUUCUUUCGCACCGU